UACGUAGGGUGCAAGCGUUAAUCGGAAUUACUGGGCGUAAAGCGUGCGCAGGCGGUUCGCUAAGACAGAUGUGAAAUCCCCGGGCUUAACCUGGGAACUGCAUUUGUGACUGGCGGGCUAGAGUAUGGCAGAGGGGGGUAGAAUUCCACGUGUAGCAGUGAAAUGCGUAGAGAUGUGGAGGAAUACCGAUGGCGAGGGCAGCCCCCUGGGCCAAUACUGACGCUCAUGCACGAAAGCGUGGGGAGCAAACAGG
rnacentral:rRNA from 1 species